CUGCUAUUAGAUUUCUGAGGACAUCAAUCCUUGUGCCUUUCUGUUUAUUCAUGUAUUCUCAAGUUUACUUUGUUUGAUUCAUGCUUUGUUGUGAAUUAUGGUAUUUUUUAUUUUUUUUCCUGAUAUACUUGAUAGAUGCAUCUUGUUGUUAUUCUGUUUUCUUCUCAUGGAAAACUAAGCUAAUUUUUUCAGCAUCAUAUCUGUGCAUUCAUCCUUUAAAUGGCUAAUCUGCAUCAGAUUUCUGACAUCAAUGCCUGUGUCUUUCUGUUAAAUGGCUAAUCUGCAAUUGAUUUGUGCAUUCAUCCUAAUUAUUUGUACACACCACAAGAAAUAUAUGAAAACUUCCAAACUUGUGAAGGAGAUUAGGAUAAUAAGACUAAGAAAGCUAAGUUGCCAAUUGACUGGAAUAAAAUACUUCCAUUUUGAAGUUAAUGGCAAAAAUUCCUUUUAUUGAUCUAAAAUCCAACAGAAAAAACCUCCCUACAAUGUAAGCAGAUGUUUUGAUAGAGAGAAACCAAAGGUCCCAUUUAGAUGCAAGCAAAGUUCUGUUACGUACACUCAUGUUGUCAUGUGAUUAGCUAGAUGUUUGGAGAGAGAGAAACCAAAGGUCCCAUUUUCAGUUUGUAUAGGCCCAUGGGUUGGUGAUCCAGAAUGUUGAUAUGGUGGGAGCCAUGGUAGGUGAACUGGUUUUCAGUUUUUCAAAUAAGUUCUCUCAUGAUCCUUGGGUGGCCAUCAUGAAGUUGGGAUAUGCAGGUCCUGGAUGCUCCUCCCUAAUUAGAGCCAUGAUGGAACAAGGGCCCUUCAGAGUUAACCCCGAUGGGAAGACUCUCUUUAAAAAUGACUAUGCCUGGAAUAAUGGUGAGUGAAUCUAGCUUUCAUAAAACUUCAAAAAACAACCAAUAAUUAUUUACUCGAUGUCAUGUGAUUAGCUAGAUGUCCAUUAGCUGGCCAUUGAUUUUGACUUAUAGCCUACCGAAUGAGUAGAUUGGCCCAAUUUCUAUAACAGGUUUCAUGGUAUGUGACUCUACCUUUUGCAUGUAUUGAAUAUUUUGCAAACGCAACUCUGGUGGGAGAAAAUGCAGAAUGUGAAAGUUCAUAUACAGUUGCUGUAUGUGAUGAUUAUCUCUUAUUUUCAAUGUGCAGGGUGCAAUGUAGGAGUUGUUAAUUAAUAUUUGGCCUAAUCUACACUAACAAUAACAUUUUUUAAAACGGUUACAAUUCAUUCAAUGUGCAUUUGGUUGCAUGCAUUUAUGGCUGUCCAUUUACUAUGAUCCCUGUCAUGAGUGGAUCAUUGCCCAACAAUCACAAUCAUUUGAGACCAUCUAAUUUUGCCCAAUUGAAUUGGACCAUUCAAUUUGAUAGAUCCCAGACCCAGUUGAAUGAUAGGAUUGAUUUCUGUGGUUGUUCUCCAUCCAGAUUAAGCCCCACUUGUUGGACAGGUCACCAUGAUUUGGUUGACAGUGGUGAGCUGACACCUUAGUUUAACCAAUACACCACAACUUUGAACGUUUGGGCCCAGUUUGGUUGUGCCAAUCUUUGGUAAAGAAGAUUGUUGCUCAGAUGGUCUUGACCACGAGUGACCCUUGCCUUAAAAAAUCAUUCAGAUAGAAAGAUCCUAACCCAUCCAAUUUUUUUGGCUGUUUUCUACUGCAUUAAUGGGUUAGAAGUAUUUCUUUUAUAAUCAUCUAUUUGAAGCAGUUUGCUUACCUAGAGGAGCACUAUGGAAAUGGUGUGACAGUUACCCCACUUGAGAGGCAACAUGCCUUUUUACCCAGGCCAUGUAUUUUCUAUCCAGACAACAACAUUUUAGUUGCACAAAAUCAUGCUGAUGUUACUGACAAUUUGGCCAAAUACUGCAUCAAAGAGAUUGGGAAGCCACAGCCAGACAGGAAAUGAAAUUCAUCCUUGGACACACAUGAUGGAAGUGCCUCAGUUGCAUGGAUUUGGCCCUGCUGCUAAUCAAUUGUUGUAGGCUUAUAAAAUGCUUUUACAGGUAUCCAAGUCCAAAUAGAACUUUCGAUUCUUCGCUAGAACCAUAAAAUUGCCUUGGAUCUAUUGGUUUUUCCUGACAGUUAUUUUAGGUUUGUUUCCCUCGCCUCAAGUGUAUGCUUCAUCUUUGUGAGUAUGCUGUUUUGGGGCUUAUUUUAGGUUAUAUUUUGAGCCCCUUUUCGGCCCUGUUUCACUGCUUGUAAGUUGUUCAUUUUUAUGCAUGUAUAGCAUUUAUAAAAACUUGCACUGAGAAGAUAGUAUUACCCGUAUGAUU